GUCAUGUGUGUGCGAUCUUUCUGCUCAUCUUAUUCUUCUCUUCGUCGCUCGCUCGUUCUUCUGCUCGCGCGGAGACUCCCCCUCAGGUGCGAUUUAACAGCGGGGGAUUUUUGCUGCGCUUGCCAAAAAAAGUCAAACGUUUUCUGCUGAGCAGUCGGUGGACAACCUGCAAUAAGAAAAAAGAAAUCGAUCGAUAUAAAGAAGAAUCAAAUUUAUUAGUCCACUUGUACAAGUUUAUUCAAUUACUUUCUCCAAGUCUUUCUCAAUUGGGUGGAAACUUUCACAAUUAUAAUGAUGAAUUGACAUUUCCGUGGUACUUAUUGACGGUUUUCAUCGCUUUUCAUUACUGACGCAAUCGUUUUGCAGUUCGUUAUUCUCGAAAACCCGAGCUUACCGGAAACGUUGAAGUGAAGAAAUUACGGAAGAUCACAGUAACGAUUCGCCGGGUGUGUUUAACCGGUGAAGAUUACACGAUGAACGUGAUUGAGAAUAAAAAAAGUCACGCUCCACAGAGAAGUAUCCGUUGAGGCGUAAUACGAGACCACAAUUCCCAUCGGCAGUGCACAAAGGCCGAGUGAAAAAAGGCGUUCUAAUCGAGUUUGCAAAGUCGGCUGAAGAUUGGGACAAAACGAGCAAAUCGUCUAAUAAAUAUGACAUCAAAAAUUUGACAUUUAUUUUGUUUUCUUUAUUAUAUAAUAUAUAUAUACUUAACACUGUACCAUCGAAGAGAAUUAAUAUUUUGAAUAAUUCAUUGAGAAAAGUAUAGCGGUGACACACUGUAACUUAAAUGAGAGAUGAAAUGCUCUUAUAUUCGAAGUUUCGAUCCAUUUUUUUAUUUCAUAAGGGUAAAAGGGUGGGAUGUUUUUCUUUAUGA